rnacentral:rRNA from 1 species
CCUACGGGAGGCAGCAGUGGGGAAUAUUGCACAAUGGGCGAAAGCCUGAUGCAGCAACGCCGCGUGAAGGAAGAAGGGUUUCGGCUCGUAAACUUCUAUCAACAGGGACGAAAGAAAUGACGGUUCCUGAAUAAGAAGCCCCGGCUAACUACGUGCCAGCAGCCGCGGUAAUACGUAGGGGGCAAGCGUUAUCCGGAAUUACUGGGUGUAAAGGGUGAGUAGGCGGCAUGGUAAGCCAGAUGUGAAAGCCUUGGGCUUAACCCGAGGAUUGCAUUUGGAACUAUCAAGCUAGAGUACAGGGGAGGAAAGCGGAAUUCCUAGUGUAGCGGUGAAAUGCAUAGAUAUCGCGCAGAACUCCGAUUGCGAAGGCAGCGUACCGGCGCCGGACUGACGCUGAGGCACGAAAGCGUGGGUAUCGAACAGGAUUAGAUACCCUUGUAGUC